AAGCUUUCAAGUUUGAUGCAACGUAAACCAAGCUGAUUACGAACACAGCAGUCAUUUCGCUGCCAGGCAGAGAGGAGACAACACGGCUCUGGGACCUGUCUCUGAUGAUUAAUAGCGACUGCCCCCACGCACUGCAAUUCGGUCGGGCAAGAGAGAUCCACACGAACUCCUACCGCCGCAAGGGACGUCGCUGAUGGCUUACACUGGAAGACGAGCUGUAUCACUGAAGGGAAGGACAUCCGUGUGCAAAUUGCUACAAGGGGACUGAGGCUGGGUGCCAUGCAAAACCAGAAACAAUGUUGCCCGAAGGAGCAAGGCCAUGAGAGGGAAAUGCCAGACCGGCAGCAGAGCCGCGUGCAACCAAGCGAUUGCGCUGCUAUUGAAGGAAAAACUGACUGCAGUUAGAGAAUUCAUGGACUAACAUACAUGUGCUGUCUGCGUUAUUUGACUUUUACGAUUACCUGUUGUCUAUUCUAUUAUGUCAUAUUAAGGAAUGUAAAAAAAUAAUUCAAUUGACCUAGACAACGACGGUCUAAAGGGUGGAUAUACGAAUGGUAGACAUCCCAACCAAAUGUAUAUGAAAUCUUUAUUGACACGACAAAAGUACAGCGACUUUCGUGAGGAUUAUAACAAGUACAUACAAUACAACUAAGCAGACGUAUAUGCAUAUUUACAGAUAUGAAUAAGUCAACAUGUUAUUUCUAGCAUGUCAUUUACAUAAUUCAAACGUUGCCUGCAAAUUUCUUGAGUUACAAACAGACUUUUACCAAUCUAACGUUUUCGGGAGUUUCUCAACGCUACAAAUACACGUCCAUGCAGCCGUUUACUUUUUGGGACUUUUUGGAUCUCGGAGUAAUACGUCAAUGGGACCUUACAAGUAUAUUGUGCAUACAAGCUGCAGCAGCCUUUCACUCCGUCACUUACAAGAAGAUACAACACAACGUUUGCUAGAUAUAAUAAUGUAUUAAUGUAGUGAUGUAUUAUUGUACUAUGAUUGUUAUUCUUAGACAGUUAUUCGUUUGAUGACGUAAACUGCAACAGACCGAGAUGUACAAGUAACCAAUGUUGAGUGAUAUGAGCGGAGUUGAGUAGAUGUCUGUCAGGUAAAACAGAAUACAAAGACGGAAGAUUUCUACGGCA